UACGGAAGGCAGCAGUGGGGAAUAUUGCACAAUGGGCGCAAGCCUGAUGCAGCCAUGCCGCGUGUAUGAAGAAGGCCUUCGGGUUGUAAAGUACUUUCAGUCGUGAGGAAGGUGUUAAGGUUAAUAACCUUAGCAAUUGACGUUAGCGACAGAAGAAGCACCGGCUAACUCCGUGCCAGCAGCCGCGGUAAUACGGAGGGUGCGAGCGUUAAUCGGAAUUACUGGGCGUAAAGGGCACGCAGGCGGUUAAUUAAGUUGGAUGUGAAAUCCCCGGGCUUAACCUGGGAAUGGCAUUCAAGCUGGUUAGCUAGAGUCUUGUAGAGGGGGUAGAAUUCCAUGUGUAGCGGUGAAAUGCGUAGAGAUGUGGAGGAAUACCGGUGGCGAAGGCGGCCCCUGGGACAAAGACUGACGCUCAUGUGCGAAAGCGUGGGGAGGCAAACAGGGAUUAGAUACC
rnacentral:rRNA from 1 species